rnacentral:lncRNA from 1 species
GAGAUAAUUACCAGCGUGCGUUCUGUCAAAGCUGCGGACACACUGACGCAUCCUGAUGCGAAACAACCCUUAUAAUCUGUGGAUUUACACGUGGGAAUAUUUAUAAUAACUUGUUUUUGUUCCUUCAAAAUAAAACCAUCAGACCAAUUCCAGAGAUUAUGAGAGGAGACACAACUGUGGAGAAUGACGUGGAGGCGGAUGAUAAUGGAGAGAGUGCAGCAGCUGCAGCAUCUGGAGACAGACGACCUAGUCUUGUGACGCUACAGAGUAUGCUAAAGAAAGUUUCCCAGAGCCCUUUCCAUGAUCAAUACAAGACUGUCCUUUCAUCAUCAUCUGACUCCAGUGGAUCAUCUGCGACCGAGUCUCGAAACAAACAGGACGGUGAGUUCCUCAUUGAUCUCUCAGCUGCUGCGACGGAUGUGACUGACCACCAGCAGCUCAACGUAGGACAGAAUGGAGUGUCAGAACAGCUACAUUCAAGUCCUCAGAAUGGAUUCAAUGGGGGUUUGGCCAGAAGUAACCCUUUUUAUACACAUUACUUGGAAUCAGGCAGCAAAAGUCAUGAGGAGGUAGGGAAGGAAAGCGCAGAAAUCAACUUCGGCACCCUCUUUGUCCCUCCACCUGAAUUCAGAGCUCACCUCUGGAUCUUCAGACUGACAUUAGACUGUGGAAAAUGGAGCCAAAUUUUCUGAACCUCAGAAGGAUCUAUUCCAGGUCCUCACAGCCAACCCUGUGCAGGGCCGCUUCCAGGCAUCAACAUUGGCCCAAAACAAAUCUGCCAGUGGCCAUUUUCAUGAUGUGACUCUGAGCUCACCAGACUUAUUUAAGCCAGUUCCUGCUCAAAGACGGAA